rnacentral:rRNA from 1 species
ACGGAGGAGCACGAAGGUUGGCUAAUCCUGGUCGGACAUCAGGAGGUUAGUGCAAUGGCAUAAGCCAGCUUGACUGCGAGCGUGACGGCGCGAGCAGGUGCGAAAGCAGGUCAUAGUGAUCCGGUGGUUCUGAAUGGAAGGGCCAUCGCUCAACGGAUAAAAGGUACUCCGGGGAUAACAGGCUGAUACCGCCCAAGAGUUCAUAUCGACGGCGGUGUUUGGCACCUCGAUGUCGGCUCAUCACAUCCUGGGGCUGAAGUAGGUCCCAAGGGUAUGGCUGUUCGCCAUUUAAAGUGGUACGCGAGCUGGGUUUAGAACGUCGUGAGACAGUUCGGUCCCUAUCUGCCGUGGGCGCUGGAGAACUGAGGGGGGCUGCUCCUAGUACGAGAGGACCGGAGUGGACGCAUCACUGGUGUUCGGGUUGUCAUGCCAAUGGCACUGCCCGGUAGCUAAAUGCGGAAGAGAUAAGUGCUGAAAGCAUCUAAGCACGAAACUUGCCCCG